GUCCCGGUGGCACAGGGGAUAGCGCGGCCCCCUCCUAAGGGGCAGGUCGCAGGUUCGAAUCCUGCCCGGGACACCA
rnacentral:tRNA from 1 species